rnacentral:misc_RNA from 1 species
GGAAGUAAAGGUCGUAACAAGGUCUCCGUUGGUGAACCAGCGGAGGGAUCAUUACCGAGUUUACAACUCCCAAACCCAAUGUGAACCAUACCAAACUGUUGCCUCGGCGGGGUCACGCCCCGGGUGCGUCGCAGCCCCGGAACCAGGCGCCCGCCGGAGGGACCAACCAAACUCUUUCUGUAGUCCCCUCGCGGACGUUAUUUUUACAGCUCUGAGCAAAAAUUCAAAAUGAAUCAAAACUUUCAACAACGGAUCUCUUGGUUCUG